GACGUAGGGCGCGAGCGUUGUCCGGAUUUAUUGGGCGUAAAGAGCUCGUAGGCGGUUUGUUGCGUCGGCUGUGAAAUCCCCAGGCUCAACCUGGGAACUGCGUCCGAUACUGGCAGGCUUGAAUCCGGGAGAGGGAUGUGGAAUUCCAGGUGUAGCGGUGAAAUGCGUAGAUAUCUGGAGGAACACCGGUGGCGAAGGCGGCAUCCUGGACCGGUAUUGACGCUGAGGCGCGAAAGCUAGGGGAGCAAACGGG
rnacentral:rRNA from 1 species